AUUGAACGCUGGCGGCAUGCUUUACACACGCAAGUCGAACGGCAGCGCGGGCUUCGGCCUGGCGGCGAGUGGCGAACGGGUGAGUAAUGCAUCGGAACGUGCCCAGUAGUGGGGGAUAGCCCGGCGAAAGCCGGAUUAAUACCGCAUACGACCUGAGGGUGAAAGCGGGGGACCGAAAGGCCUCGCGCUAUUGGAGCGGCCGAUGUCGGAUUAGCUAGUUGGUGGGGUAAAGGCUUACCAAGGCGACGAUCCGUAGCUGGUCUGAGAGGACGACCAGCCACACUGGGACUGAGACACGGCCCAGACUCCUACGGGAGGCGGCAGUGGGGAAUUUUGGACAAUGGGGGCAACCCUGAUCCAGCCAUGCCGCGUGCGGGAAGAAGGCCUUCGGGUUGUAAACCGCUUUUGUUCGGGAAGAAAUCCUCUGGGCUAAUACCCCGGGGGGAUGACGGUACCGGAAGAAUAAGCACCGGCUAACUACGUG
rnacentral:rRNA from 1 species